GUGUCAGCCGCCGCGGUAAUACGGAGGUGGCAAGCGUUGUUCGGAAUUACUGGGCGUAAAGGGCGCGUAGGCGGCAAAACAAGUCAGAUGUGAAAGCCCCGGGCUUAACUCGGGAAUUGCAUCUGAAACUGAUUUGCUUGAGUUCUGGAGGGGGUAGUGGAAUUCCCAGUGUAGCGGUGAAAUGCGUAGAUAUUGGGAGGAACACCUGCGGCGAAGGCGGCUACCUGGACAGUAACUGACGCUGAGGCGCGAAAGCUAGGGGAGCGAACAGGAUUAGAUACCCUGGUAGUCCUAGCUGUAAACGAUGGGCACUUGGUGUUGGGGGUAUUGAGUCCCCCGGUGCCGGAGUUAACACGUUAAGUGCCCCGCCUGGGGAGUACGGUCGCAAGACUGAA
rnacentral:rRNA from 1 species